CGCGUAGGCGGUUUGUUAAGUCGGAUGUGAAAGCCCCGGGCUCAACCUGGGAAUUGCACCCGAUACUGGCCGACUGGAGUGCGAGAGAGGGAGGUAGAAUUCCACGUGUAGCGGUGAAAUGCGUAGAUAUGUGGAGGAAUACCGGUGGCGAAGGCGGCCUCCUGGCUCGACACUGACACUGAGGUGCGAAAGCGUGGGGAGCAAACA
rnacentral:rRNA from 1 species